rnacentral:rRNA from 1 species
AUGGAGCACGCGCAUGACGAGCUCAGCCUCGAGCUCACCCUGGCCGCCGCCGUCGUGGCCCUGGCGCCCGGCUUCUUCCUAUGCGUGUACUGCCACCGCAAGUUCCGCACCUCGCAGGCUCUCGGCGGCCACCAGAACGCGCACAAGGAAGAGCGAGCCGACAAGCACCGCCGGGAGACUGCCGCCACCACGGCGCAUGCUUCGAAACCGGAGAGGGCUGCCGCCACUGUUUGGGUGUCCGAGGAGGCAGCAGCAGCAGCUUCUCAGACUAUCUGGGCUUCCAGAGGCAAUAAAUUAGUGACUGUGGCACAACAUGUAUCACUGGAUCACACCACUAAUGUGCAUUGGUCACGUAUCUGGAAAUUCUUCACUCUUUGGAUGUUUGUGCAAAAUAUCCACCUUGAUGAGCUUGACAAGGAUGAUAUUGUCUGGAAGCACACUAAUGAUGGGAUCUACUCGGUGGCCUCCACUUAUAGAUCCCAAUUCUUAGUGUUUGGUCAACUCCCCCUUGAAUCGCAUGAUAUGCAAGAAUUGUAUGCAACCAAAGGUCUAGUUUUUUUCUUGGUUAGCUACACA